UUGACAAGCUGUGAUGGGGAGCGAAAUUAAAGUAGCGAAGUUGCCGAUGUCACACUGCCGAGAAAAGCUUCUAGUGAGCAUUUAACUGCCCGUACCGCAAACCGACACAGGUAGUCGAGGAGAGAAUCCUAAGGUGAGCGAGUGAACUCUCGUUAAGGAACUCGGCAAAAUGACCCCGUAACUUCGGGAGAAGGGGUGCUGGUCGCAAGACCAGCCGCAGUGAAAAGGCCCAGGCGACUGUUUAUCAAAAACACAGGUUUCUGCAAAAUCGUAAGAUGAAGUAUAGGGGCUGACGCCUGCCCGGUGCUGGAAGGUUAAAAGGAAGAGUUAGCUUCGGCGAAGCCCUGAAUUGAAGCCCCAGUAAACGGCGGCCGUAACUAUAACGGUCCUAAGGUAGCGAAAUUCCUUGUCGGGUAAGUUCCGACCCGCACGAAAGGCGUAACGAUCUGGGCACUGUCUCAACGAGAGACUCGGUGAAAUUGAAUUGCCUGUGAAGAUGCAGGCUACCCGCGACAGGACGGAAAGACCCCAUGGAGCUUUACUGUAGCUUGAUAUUGAGUGUUUGUACUACUUGUACAGGAUAGGUAGGAGCCGUAGAAGCCGGGACGCUAGUUUCGGUGGAGGCAUUGGUGGGAUACUACCCUUGUAUUAUGACCACUCUAACCCGCACCACUGAUCGUGGUGGGAGACAGUGUCAGGUGGGCAGUUUGACUGGGGCGGUCGCCUCCCAAAAGGUAACGGAGGCGCCCAAAGGUUCGCUCAGAAUGGUUGGAAAUCAUUCGCAGAGUGUAAAGGCACAAGCGAGCUUGACUGCGAGACAGACAGGUCGAGCAGGGACGAAAGUCGGGCUUAGUGAUCCGGUGGUUCCGCAUGGAAGGGCCAUCGCUCAACGGAUAAAAGCUACCCUGGGGAUAACAGGCUUAUCUCCCCCAAGAGUCCACAUCGACGGGGAGGUUUGGCACCUCGAUGUCGGCUCAUCGCAUCCUGGGGCUGUAGUCGGUCCCAAGGGUUGGGCUGUUCGCCCAUUAAAGCGGUACGCGAGCUGGGUUCAGAACGUCGUGAGACAGUUCGGUCCCUAUCCGUCGCGGGCGUAGGAAAUUUGAGAGGACCUGUCCUUAGUACGAGAGGACCGGGAUGGACAUACCGCUGGUGUACCAGUUGUUCCGCCAGGAGCAUCGCUGGGUAGCUAUGUAUGGAUGAGAUAAACGCUGAAAGCAUCUAAGUGUGAAACUCGCCUCAAGAUGAGAUUUCCCAUUCCUUUGGAAGUAAGACCCCACAGAGAUGAUGUGGUAGAUAGGAUGGAAGUGGAAGUGCGGUGACGCAUGGAGCGGACCAUUACUAAUCGGUCGAGGACUUAACCAAG
rnacentral:rRNA from 2 species